UGACAUCUUCAAAACCCACUA
rnacentral:miRNA from 1 species